rnacentral:rRNA from 1 species
GACGAACGCUGGCGGCGUGCUUAACACAUGCAAGUCGAACGGAAAGGCCCCUUCGGGGGUACUCGAGUGGCGAACAGGUGAGUAACACGUGAGUAACCUGCCCUUGACUUCGGGAUAACUUCAGGAAACUGGGGCUAAUACCGGAUAGGAAUCCUUGCUGCAUGGUGGGGGUUGGAAAGCUUCGGCGGUUUUGGAUGGACUCGCGGCUCAUCAGCUUGUUGGUGGGGUAGUGGCUUACCAAGGCUUUGACGGGUAGCCGGCCAGAGAGGGCGACCGGCCACAUUGGGACUGAGAUACGGCCCAGACGCCUACGGGAGGCAGCAGGGGGGAAUAUUGCACAAUGGGCGGAAGGCUGAUGCAGCAACGCCGCGGGCGGGAUGACGGCCUUCGGGUUGAAAACCGCUUUCAGCAGGGGCGAAGCUUGUGGUGACGGUACCUGCAGAAGAAGCACCGGCUAACUACGUG